rnacentral:rRNA from 1 species
GGAUAAACGCUGAAGGCAUCUAAGCGUGAAGCCAGCCUCGAGAAGAAGGUUCCCAUUCAUUGAAUGAAGUAAGGCCUCCGGGAGACGACCGGGAGAUAGGCCGGCGGUGUAAGCGCAGCAAUGCGUGAGCUUGCCGGUACUAAUAGGCCGAGGGCUUGAUUU